UUACAAAAGGCCUAGAAGUGUUUCCCACAGGAGGGGGUGUCCCAAUGGGCAUUUGUUGUGCCCUGAAGGACGAACUAGGCGCGUUUUGCGACAUCGAAACCGCUGGUAUCGACCCUGCUGACGAAGGUACAGCCUCUGACACAGGGACCGAUCCUAUAUUGCCUUCUGUCGAAGGGACAGGGUUAGAUACUGGGAUGGAUUCGUUAGGAUUAUUUGGCUGGUUCGCC
rnacentral:lncRNA from 1 species